CUCUUUGUGGCAUGAUGGUUUGAGUGUUGGACUAAGACUCUGGAGACCAGGGUUCAGAUCCCUGCUUGGCCA